GUCCACGCCCUAAACGAUGUCAACUAGUCGUUGGAGGAAUUUAAUCCUUUAGUGACGAAGCUAACGCGAUAAGUUGACCGCCUGGGGAGUACGGUCGCAAGAUUAAAACUCAAAGGAAUUGACGGGGGCCCGCACAAGCGGUGGAGCAUGUGGUUUAAUUCGAUGCAACGCGAAGAACCUUACCAGCCCUUGACAUGUAGCGAACUUUCCAGAGAUGGAUUGGUGCCUUCGGGAACGCUAACACAGGUGCUGCAUGGCU
rnacentral:rRNA from 1 species